rnacentral:lncRNA from 1 species
GACAUCUACCAAUGAAAGACAUUUUGAUAUGUAAACUGAAGGUUAACAUGAAAUACAAGACUGGGAAGCUUCCUUGUCCCGGCCCAGGCACCCGUGGAGCAUCCCCUCCAUCAACUGGAUUGCCAUCUCCUUCUGGGUAAGUUUAAUUCCCACAAACUCUGCAAAGAAUAUGUAAUAUUAUUUGAGAUAACUCACUGAUCAGCUAAGGAACAAGCUGAAGAUGGAAACAAUCAGGUAGAUUUAUCAUUUACAAUAAUUUUGCAAUAUAAUAUUAUUCUCAAAUUACUUCAUCUUUUGCCUUUUUAGAAAGCAUGUUUGCAAAAAAAAAUUGACUUCCUUCUGUAUUGUUCUACUGGGUUUCUUGGGUAUCAAAGAUGAAAGAAUAAUAGUGCAUGAGAAUAAAAUUGAAUGCCUUGAUGCCUGGACUUUUGUUUAUAAAUGAGAUUUAUUUCUGUGUCUGAACCCCUUUCCCCUUGUUCCGUUAAAAGUCUUGGCUAACACACAGUAGUUACUUGUUAAAUACUUUGAAAAUGAAUGUUUAUGUAUAUAAACUUCCUGAAAAAUUAUAGCCUUACAGAAAAUAGAAGUGAUAUACACAGAUACUUUCUAAAGUAUGGACAAGCUUUUCUGGAUCCGUCAUUUUCAUGCUAUAGAACUUCCCAGGAGAUGUUUGUCCUUUUAGCAUAUUUAGAAUUUAACUCCUAUUUUGAUGGAGAGCAACUCCAAGUCCUUGGAAAACAAAGCUACUGAUACCAGUGUUAGGUGCUUUCAGUUUUCAUUUACUUGAGCUGCCAAUGUUAAUGUACGUAGUUUAAUUAUAUCUUACUGUAUUCUGUUAAUGUUUCUAUUUGUGGGAGCACUUUUUCAUACAGUAUGUGUGUGUGGUUGUUAUUGUAAAUCAAAUACCUUAAAUUCUAUUUGAAAUCAG